AGUGAACGCUGGCGGUAGGCCUAACACAUGCAAGUCGAACGGCAGCACAGUAAGAGCUUGCUCUUACGGGUGGCGAGUGGCGGACGGGUGAGGAAUACAUCGGAAUCUACUUUUUCGUGGGGGAUAACGUAGGGAAACUUACGCUAAUACCGCAUACGACCUACGGGUGAAAGCAUGGGAUCUUCGGACCUUGCGCGAUUGAAUGAGCCGAUGUCGGAUUAGCUAGUUGGCGGGGUAAAUGCCCACCAAGGCGACGAUCCGUAGCUGGUCUGAGAGGAUGAUCAGCCACACUGGAGCUGAGACACGGUCCAGACUCCUACGGGAGGCAGCAGUGGGGAAUAUUGGACAAUGGGCGCAAGCCUGAUCCAGCCAUACCGCGUGGGUGAAGAAGGCCUUCGGGUUGUAAAGCCCUUUUGUUGGGAAAGAAAAGCAGCAGGUUAAUACCCCGCUGUUCUGACGGUACCCAAAGAAUAAGCACCGGCUAACUUCGUG
rnacentral:rRNA from 1 species